rnacentral:rRNA from 1 species
AUGUCGCAACGUUUUUUUUGCGAAAACCCCCUCCAUCUAUUUCCGACCGAACCCACGGUCCUCGACCUCACUCUCUUCUCCGGCUGGCCGCCGCGGUCCGUUCGGUGCUCUUCUCCGGCUCGCCGCCGCGCUGCCGCCGCGCUCUCCCCCCUCCCCUCCCCUCCCCACCUUCUAUCGCGUCGCCGCGCUCUCCUCCCCCACCUUCGGUGGCCUCGCCACGCUCCUCUCCUCCUUCCCGCGGCGACGGAUUGGGUUCAAGCUUCGACCUUUGAGUUCAAGUCGGCGACGGAUUCCGUCGAUGCGAGGCCUUCACCGCCGCCAAGCUCCUGGCGCCGGUGGCCGCGAGCUUCAGGGGAGACCCCAUCCUCUCUCCCUCCCAGAUCCACCACGCACACCUCGCCUCGCUCGCGCCUGCUCCGCUCCGUGCCCCCGACGCUCCGUGCCCUCGCGCCUGCGCCUGCUCCGCUCCGUGCCCCCGACACCCCUGCUCUGCUCCGCCAUGGAGGAUGCGCUCCGCCAUGGAGGAUGCUGCUCCACCCCGCCAUGGAGGAUGCCGCUCCACCCCUGCUCCAGCCUCAAGGUUCUGAGGCAUCAUCUUGUGGAGGACUCAUGUUAAGAUCAAUCCCAAACAUCAUUGCGGCGGUGGAGCACUUGCUCAGCAGCAGCAACAACAGAGGCGGGGGCGGGGAAUACCAGCAGCAACAGAGGCGAGGGCGGGCGCGACCGGAGGAGGGCCAGCACGGAGAGGAAGACCCUGGGCUUGGAGGAGAGGUUGAGCAGGGCCAACGCGGCGAUGAAGACCCUGGGCCAGAGCAGCGACGAAGACCCAGCGCCGCGACGGCGUCCAAAAUUGUCCGCGGCGACGGCGGCCAAGGCGGACCAAAUCGAGGACCUAGUCGUCGAUUUACUGCUUCUUGGCACGAUUCAGAGGGAGGUGACAAAGAGGAAGAACUUUAG